AGUGAAAUUGCUGGGUUAUAUGGGUUACUCACUGGGGAAACACCAAAUUUUUCCAAAGCUACACCAUUUUCCAUUCCCACCAACAAU
rnacentral:pre_miRNA from 1 species